rnacentral:lncRNA from 1 species
CUCUAUGCACCAAACUCUCCCCCAACCCUCCGCCCCCCACCCCCCAAAUUUUUCAGUGCACCAUGCACCAUGCACUAAUUUCUGAUCAGGUUUCAAAUGUUCUAUGUUUGAAAGUACAAUUAGCCUCUUAGGUUCGAAUUUUCAUCGUAUAAACAAGUGAUUUGAUAGCAAUAUUGAACUCAUCGCUCGCCUUCGGCGGCUCUUCGCCCCAUGAGCUCAUGUUGCAUCAUCACAUCUGAUCGAAAGCCACGCGGGCUUCGCCCGCGUGAUAUUCGCGCGGUCGCCGUGCCCUUAAACCCUAAACGUUAAAACCAACCCUACUACUACGACCUCGGGUGGAACUACGUUUUUCAAUAUCCUAAAACUCGCGGCCACCGUUUCGCCACCCUCGCGACUAUGGUGCUCGAUCCCUAGCUAGGUUUACGGUUGCGCGUUCGCGUCGGAGCGAGCUCGGCGUCGCUCUAAACCCUAAACCUAACUAGGGUUCGAGGACCCUAGCCGCGAGGGGGCGAAACGGGGCCGCUCGGGGGGUGGGGCGUCUUGUCCGAGCUCUCGGCGCGUCCGUAAUGGCGGCGACUAGCGACAGUGUGCUAUAAGAUAGCUAACGUAUUUUUUAGUGGUGUCCGAAGGAGUUAGACACUACAUUUUUCCUCGCUCCGCUCGGUUAGUCUCACUCGCUGCGCUCGAUCGGAGCUUCGCUGCGGUGAUACGUCCAACUCAUGGCCGAUGCAGCAGACGGGACCGGUAGCGCACAAGGAUCGUCGAUUUCUUCGUACGUAUCGCGACGCCGAGCUCGCUCCGACGCGAACGCGUAACCCUAAACCUAACUAGGGUUCGAGGACCCUAGCCGCGAGGGGGCGAAACGGGGCCGCUCGGGGGGUGGGGCACAUGUCCGAUCGCUUGAGCAUAACACACUCAGUAUAUCUCUCAAGGAUGUUAGCACCUGCUCGUACAAACAUUUAUAAAAAUACGAAAAAUUGAAAUGGGAAGUACACAGUGGGGAGAAGAGAUGGGAUUGCUCGGUUAACUCACAUAUAUUAACGUGUCCAAGAAAUUGUCGGUGGUUAGAUAAGUUAGAACAGUAAGGCUUCAUAACUUCAGAAGGAUUCGGAGUAUCGAAUAGGUCACUGACUCUUCGUUUCUUGUGCGGUUCUUCCAUGACGAUGCGUUGUCUCGUAAAUGGCUAGCGUGGAGGAAGACGGGCACUAGCAGCAGACAACGCGAAAGGAGUGAAGAGAGAGGAGCGCGCUUGAAAAGAAAGGUGGAGGCGGGAGGGGGGGGGGGCAAGAAACUCCGCACGAGCCAUGAACG